rnacentral:misc_RNA from 1 species
CUUAUGGCCAAAGUGCGUUUAUUUGUGUUGGGCCGACGUACGUGACGGAUACGGUCAGCGUGAUGGUGGCGGAAGCGUUCGGGAAAGUAGCGUAAAAUCGUCUUCGGGCCAGUCGGUGCACCAUCGUCCAUCACGGUCGCAUCUCCUCGAUAUAGUCUUGCUCGUCGCGCGUUGUUUGUUGUGUCGUAGUCGUUUUCAAUCAUCUACCGUUCGUUUUAUUCGUCCUCCCACCGAAAAAUGUCGCGAUCGCUGCCGUCCGUGUUCCAAUCAUCUCCGUUCCGAUCGUCGGUUCGGUAGAGAGCGUCGCAAUUUUAAUAUAUCAUCGGCCGUCGCUCGCCGCGGUGUGGUAGUGCGCGAUAGCCUAGUGCGACCGUGUCCGUCGUUGGUGCAGUUUUAGUGCGUUAUUAGUGGUGGUAGUUUUGGUGCGCGUUUCGUGUACCAGUAUAUCGAGCAGGGCCAUCAUGGAACUGCGGUUGCACAGCCCCGUGGGUGCCGAUCCCGUCGUGUACAAAUGGCCUAUGAUCAUAGGCAGAGGAUCGGACAAACACGAUGGUGCACUGGGAAUUAUAGAAACAAUAAAAUUGGUGUCUGAUGACUUCCCUGACAUGAAGAUUCCUCUAGAAAACAACAUACUUUGCAACUACGACACAAAAUCAUAUGACAGCAUGAAGUCUUUGUGCGACAGGUUCAACAAGGCUAUUGACAGCAUGGUUCAAAUGAAUAAAGGAACUUCUUUACAAAAAUUCAGUAAAAAAGCAUCUAAAAAUCUUCUCAGACACAUAAUUCAACAAGUUUAUAAUGUUUCUGUCACUGACCCUGAUAAACUAAAUCAAUAUGAACCAUUUUCACCUGAAGUAUAUGGAGAAACAUCCUUUGAUCUCAUUUGUCAAAUGAUUGAUCUGAUUAACAUUACGGAAGAUGAUAUAUUUAUAGACCUUGGAUCUGGUGUGGGGCAAAUUGUUUUACAGAUGGCAGCAGCCACUCAAUGUAAAAUAUGCUGGGGUGUUGAAAAAGCUGAUGUCCCUUCAUCAUACUCAAAAUUUAUGCAUUUAAAUUUUCAAAAAUGGAUGUCUUGGUAUGGCAAAGAAUGUGGUCAAUAUCAACUUGUGAAGGGCGACUUUUUGAGUGAAGAACAUAGGGAAAAGAUAACAAAUGCAACAAUUGUAUUUGUGAAUAAUUAUGCAUUUGGGCCACAAGUAGACCAUAUGUUAAAACAACGAUUUGCUGAUCUUAAAGAUGGAGCCAGAAUAGUUUCUUCAAGAUCGUUUUGUCCACUUAAUUUUAGAAUGUCUGAACGCAAUUUAAGUGAUAUUGGGACCAUAAUGCAUGUAUCAGCAAUGGAGCCUAUAACUGGUUCAGUUUCUUGGACUUGUAACCCUGUAAAGUAUUAUUUACAUGUUAUUGAUCGAACAAAGCUCGAGCGGUAUUUUACUCAAAAUAAGCCUCCCGUUCCAAAAUCAAGGGUGAAUGGAGAUAAACAAAAAUUAACAACUACCAUUUCUGUUAAUAAUUGUUCAUCUGAUGAUACAGACUCAUUGUUUAGUACUUUAAAUGGUGAUAGUGUAGAUGGAAGUGCUACCAAUGGAUUGACAUCGGAUAAAACUAUAACAAACACUAAUGGACAAUGCACAUGGUCAGAUAUAGGUGGACAAAAUAGUGAGGAAGAAAAUGAGAAUAACACAGACAAUCAUAGUAGAACUACUCGUAAAGUAAUGAAGCGUAACACACCACGGCGGAGUCGUAGUUUCAAAAUUGCUCCUACUUCGUAUUUAAAUAGAUCACAUUCUGAGACAACUGUUCCUGAAAAAAAGACUGUAGAAAAAAUUGCAAAAGGAAAACGAGUUGUUUCUACUAAUCGCAAACAAAAGGCUAAACGAAAGCCACCAAAACGUAACGUUAAAAUAUCAGCAUCUUUAAAUUUAUUACAUAGUGAGACAGUAUUAAGUACCACACCGGAAGUAUCGAUGAGUAUCAAGGAACCUCCAAAAGGUUGUGUUGAUCACACUUUGACUUCAAUUACGGGAGUGGGAGCUGGAUAUGCAGCUACUCAUACUGAACUUCCUCCGCCCACUGGAGAUAUUCCAUACUCAUUGCAAUUGCUUUUAGAUGAUUAUAAAGAAGGAUUUAUGAACAUGAUUAAUAUGUUUAAGACCCAGAAAUUCCGUGAAGAUGUUGAAGCACAAAUAAAAGCUGAAAGGGAAAAAAAACAAAAUUCAAACAUGAAAAUAAAUCAAAUAAAAAAACAAAUUGACCAUCUAAUUAAAGAUAGCUGUAGUCUAUUAAAAACCCGUAUGAAGGAACUUGAUAUUUAUCCUACUAAUACUACAGGCGAUGUUUUGACAGCAGCUAAAGUAAUAGUAUUGCGCCAUAAAGAUCUACAAACGAAAGUGGCUAAAAUUAAAAAUGAAACAAAUGUAUUGGAGAAUCAACAUUGGGACUAUUACUGUAAACGAGCUGCUGAAGUGAAUGCUGUUGGUACUCCUGGACAUUUAUUACUACAUCAAACUGAUAAUUCAUCAGAUCAAGAAAUAAACACCCAACGUUUAUUAAUGACAGAACUUAUGGCCAAUCGAAAAAGAAAGCAUGCUUUGUCUACAAAUAUUGAAGGAGUCAAAACUGAGAUUGAUAACUUAGAAAAACAAAACACAACAAGUAAGUUCAAUAAUUCUUUAGUAAAUCAAAUGUGUAACAACAAAAAAUCAAGAAUUCGUUCCCAAGACUGGCCAGAAGUGCCAGAUAUAGCUAGAAUUGAUGAAAAAAAUCCAGAAAUUCUGGCACAAAAAAUAUUAGAAACUGGUAGACAAAUUGAAGCCAGAAAAAUAAUUGAAAAUGGCAGACAAGUUGAAUUAUCGACACGGUAUCAACGCUCAAAUAAAAUCUUUAAUAGAAAUUCAUCAGAUACCCCACUUAAAGUGCCUUUUUAUGAUGAACAUGUCAAAGAUCUCAUUACAAAUGCUUUAAAUGAACCAUCGUCUAAAGGACCAGACUAUUCUGUUGUAUCACCUGCUAAAGUUGCUUUACGAAGGCAUCUAUCACAGGAAAAAAUUUCACCUAGUCCACCAAUACAACAACAAAAUGUCAUAACAAGAACAAUUGGUGAUGUACUAAAUAAUGAAAUUGAAAGAUGUUUGGAAAUGGACAGACAUAAUCGAACACUAGAAAUAAGCAAUCAGUCUAUAAUUAAUGCUGUUGUACCAUUAUCCAUGCAUAAUAGAAACAAUGAUACCACCCAAGCUAUAAAUCAGACUUUACCUUCAGAAAAACGUUCAUUUAUGUACAUACCAUUACCAAAAGCUGAACUUAAACCAUACCAAGAAUCUUUAUUUAGUGAUGAUACCCCUCCUCCUCAUUUAACCACUCUCAAAGAGGAACCUGUUGAAGGACUGGCUGCAUCAUUGCACGAUCGACUAUUAGAUAAUGAUGGAGACGAUAGUAAUGGUGAUGAAGGCUUGUCAUUUAAAGAAGAAAAGACUGAAUCCGACACUCAAUCACCACAUAGAACACUCAAACGCAGUUCUGAAUCACCUGGCCCACUGAAUGCUAAAAAAAUGACACCUAUGUCUGACAGACUUCCCUCAGAAGAAGGACUUAAUACUCGUACUCUAAAGUAUGCUGCAAGAAGUAUUAUUUAGCUGUAUAAAUAGAGACUUUAGCUGGCCUAAUGGAAUUGGAUUACAUAGUAAAAUAUUAAGAUGAAAAAUGGAAUGAUCGCAUCCGUGAAAGAUUUGAUAGCUUGGUAACAUUUGCAUCACUAGAGUUGGAUAAACGGCGCCGUAAUAGUUCAGAUGCUGCUGCCGCUAAUACUAGUCCUGAUAGUGGUAUU